UUAAACAUCUUUGUUCGAUGUCGGUAAACAUCGAGUUCCUCCCCAGUCAUCGGUAAAUGUCUGGUCUUGUUUCAAUUGUAAACAUAUUUGUUCGAUGUCGGUAAACAUCGAGUUCCUCCCCAGUCAUCGGUAAAUGUCUGGUCUUGUUUCACUCUUAAACAUCUUUGUUCGAUGUCGGUAAACAUCGAGUUCCUUCCCAGUCAUCGGUAAAUGUCUGGUCUUGU
rnacentral:lncRNA from 1 species